rnacentral:rRNA from 1 species
CCUACGGGGGGCAGCAGUGGGGAAUAUUGCACAAUGGGCGCAAGCCUGAUGCAGCCAUGCCGCGUGUGUGAAGAAGGCCUUCGGGUUGUAAAGCACUUUCAGUGGUGAGGAAGGUCAGUAAGUUAAUAGCUUGCUGAAUUGACGUUAGCCACAGAAGAAGCACCGGCUAACUCCGUGCCAGCAGCCGCGGUAAUACGGAGGGUGCAAGCGUUAAUCGGAAUUACUGGGCGUAAAGCGUACGUAGGCGGUGUGUUAAGCAAGAUGUGAAAGCCCCGGGCUCAACCUGGGAAUUGCAUUUUGAACUGGCACGCUAGAGUCCUGAAGAGGGUGGUAGAAUUUCCAGUGUAGCGGUGAAAUGCGUAGAUAUUGGAAGGAAUACCAGUGGCGAAGGCGGCCACCUGGUCAGAGACUGACGCUGAGGUACGAAAGCGUGGGGAGCA